rnacentral:rRNA from 1 species
AAAACUCCGGUGGUGUAAGAUGGACCCGCGUCUGAUUAGCUUGUUGGCGGGGUAGAGGCCCACCAAGGCGACGAUCAGUAGCCGGCCUGAGAGGGUGGACGGCCACAUUGGGACUGAGACACGGCCCAAACUCCUACGGGAGGCAGCAGUGGGGGAUAUUGGACAAUGGGGGAAACCCUGAUCCAGCGACGCCGCGUGAGUGAAGAAGUAUUUCGGUAUGUAAAGCUCUGUCAGCAGGGAAGAAAGAAAUGACGGUACCUGACCAAGAAGCCCCGGCUAACUACGUGCCAGCAGCCGCGGUAAUACGUAGGGGGCAAGCGUUAUCCGGAAUUACUGGGUGUAAAGGGAGCGUAGACGGUGAUGCAAGUCUGGAGUGAAAGGCGGGGGCCCAACCCCCGGACUGCUCUGGAAACUGUGUAACUUGAGUGCAGGAGAGGUAAGCGGAAUUCCUAGUGUAGCGGUGAAAUGCGUAGAUAUUAGGAGGAACACCAGUGGCGAAGGCGGCUUACUGGACUGUAACUGACGUUGAGGCUCGAAAGCGUGGGGAGCAAACAGGAUUAGAUACCCUGGUAGUCCACGCCGUAAACGAUGAUUACUAGGUGUCGGUGGGUAUG